GGCUUGACGUUAGCUGCAGAAGAAGCACCGGCUAACUCCGUGCCAGCAGCCGCGGUAAUACGGAGGGUGCGAGCGUUAAUCGGAAUUACUGGGCGUAAAGCGCAUGCAGGCGGUUUGUUAAGUCAGAUGUGAAAGCCCGGGGCUCAACCUCGGAACCGCAUUUGAAACUGGCAGGCUAGAGUCUUGUAGAGGGGGGUAGAAUUUCAGGUGUAGCGGUGAAAUGCGUAGAGAUCUGAAGGAAUACCAGUGGCGAAGGCGGCCCCCUGGACAAAGACUGACGCUCAGAUGCGAAAGCGUGGGUAGCAAACAGGAUUAGAUACCCUGGUAGUCCACGCCGUAAACGCUGUCUACUUGGAGGUUGAGGUUUAGACUUUGGCUUUCGGCGCUAACGCAUUAAGUAGACCGCCUGGGGAGUACGGCCGCAAGGUUAAAACUCAAAUGAAUUGACGGGGGCCCGCACAAGCGGUGGAGCAUGUGGUUUAAUUCGAUGCAACGCGAAGAACCUUACCUACUCUUGACAUCCAGCGAAUCCUUUAGAGAUAGAGGCGUGCCUUCGGGAGCGCUGAGACAGGUGCUGCAUGGCUGUCGUCAGCUCGUGUUGUGAAAUGUUGGGUUAAGUCCCGCAACGAGCGCAACCCUUAUCCUUGUUUGCCAGCACAUAAUGGUGGGAACUCCAGGGAGACUGCCGGUGAUAAACCGGAGGAAGGUGGGGACGACGUCAAGUCAUCAUGGCCCUUACGAGUAGGGCUACACACGUGCUACAAUGGCAGAUACAGAGGGCAGCGAAGCUGCGAAGUGGAGCGAAUCCCUUAAAGUCUGUCGUAGUCCGGAUUGGAGUCUGCAACUCGACUCCAUGAAGUCGGAAUCGCUAGUAAUCGUGGAUCAGAAUGCCACGGUGAAUACGUUCCCGGGCCUUGUACACACCGCCCGUCACACCAUGGGAGUGGGCUGCACCAGAAGUAGAUAGCUUAACCUUCGGGAGGGCGUUUACCACGGUGUGGUUCAUGACUGGGGUGAAGUCGUAACAAGGUAGCCCUAGGGGAACCUGGGGCUGGAUCACCUCCUUA
rnacentral:rRNA from 1 species